rnacentral:lncRNA from 1 species
GAAAAGAAAAAUCAAUUUCAUCUACACAGUUCGAUGCAAUUAGAAAAGGAAGCACUUUUCACACAUGGAGAGAAUUAACGUAAUGCAGUCGUCCAUUGACGAUAUAUAUGAAACCUCUGCAUCCAAUGUGUUUGAAAGAAGCAUCCCAUGCUUGAGGUGUUGAACUUAAGUGUAGCAAAAAAUUUGGAAACUAUAAACCAAAAUGUUUAUACAACUAAUUAAUUGUAUUCAACCAGCUGACUAACUAUAUUGUAUGCAAAGUCGUAUCGUCUAGUGUACAAAAUAAAAACCAACAGGUCACCUCCCAUAUUGAGUAAGUUAUCUAAGAGUGAGAAGCACAAAUGAUGCAUCUCUGUGGUGCGAAUGUGUAUUCGGAUUCAAGAAGAUAAACAUUAUACAAGUAGUGAACAUAAAAUGUAGAGAACCAAUAUCGUUUUGCUAAGAGAGAAAAAGGGCGAUUGUGAAGGCGACAACGAAUCUCGAUCCUCGGGGUUUUCCGGCGAUUGUGAAGGCGAAGGAGAUGGAGUCAACGGAGACUCCAGGCGAUCCUCCGGCUCAGAUUGUUCCGGUGAUGCAGAGAUCUUGGGUUACGGUGGCGAAACAGCAGAAGGGAUUAAAAAGUUACGAUCUGGAGAUUUCAGUUUUGGAAGGAAAGCAGUCGGUAAAUGUUCCGUCGGAAAUUGUGGAAAAAGCAAAUCCUCUGUGGGAUGACUUUGUGAUAGCGCGAUUCUUGGAAACGGCUCCACACGUUGCGAAAGUGCACAUGAUCCUAAAUAAGAUCUGGAUGUUUGGUGAGAAAUCGAUGAAGAUUGAUGUUUAUGAAAUGGAUGCGGUAACAAUAAGAAUCAGGGUCCCAAGUGAAGUGAUAAGGGGGAAGAUCAUAAGGCGAGGUGUGUGGAAUAUUGCUGGGAUUCCCAUGGUGGUCUCUAAGUGGUCUCCGGUGGUGGAUAAAUCAGAAGGACAACUUACUCCACUGUGGGUUCACUUAAGCAAUGUCCCGAUGAGUAUGUACUCGUGGGAGGGAUUGAGUUUCAUCUCGAGUGCGGCUGGCAAACCAGAUAGACUACACCCGGAGACGAUAGCAUGCUCGAAUUUUGAGAUAGCCAAGGUGUGUGUCAAAGCAGACUUAUCGAAGCAGCUUCCAGAGAGGAUGAAUUUUAAGAUAGGAGAUGAGGAAGUAAUGGUGGAGUUUGCAUACCAAGGGUUACCUACAAAAUGUAGAAGCUGUGGAAAGUGGGGGCACUCAGAUAUAAUCUGUAGCAUGAAGAAAGAGGAGGGAGAAAUACAUGAAGUUGAGUUAUCAGAGGGAAAGAGAAGACAGGAAAAGGAUGUUGAAGAAGGUGGGGAUGGGAACGGAAAGGAGGUAGAGGUAGUAAAAGAUUUGGAGGUCGGAAAAGAUAUGGAAAAGGAAAGGAGCUUGCAGGAUACUAGAGUAAUGGAGGCAGUGGAGAUAGUUACUGAAGUUGAAAAAACAAUAGAGAAGAGUGGCGUGCAGGAGGGUAAUGGAAGCGGAAAACUAAAUGAGAGCUGGCGGCAGGUUGCAGAGAAGACUAUCAGAAGCCCUUGGAAGUCACCUAAAGAGUUACAAUUUGGUCAGGUAACAAUAACGCCAUCAAGGUAUGCCGCUCUGCAAAACUUGGAGGAUAGUAGGGAAGAAGAUACAUCUGAGCCUAGCGAAGAUGUAGUGGAGGAGGGCAAUGGAAUUGAGAAACCAAAAGUAGUUGAAUCUGAAGGUGGGAGACAGAUAUUACCGAGGAACUCAAAAACGUUUCAUAAAGUCCUUUCUGAGACUGUUAUUUCAAGAAGUGAGAUUGGUAUUACAACAAGGGGUUCUAGAAAGCAUCAUUAAUGGCGGGGUUCUUCUGGAAUAUAAGGGGUUUCAAUAAGUCUAUAAAGCAGGAGGUGGUUCGUAAUUGGAGUAGAAAUAAUAAUAUGCAGUUUGGGUGUUUGAUUGAGACAAGAGUAAAAGAGAGAAAGGCGAGAAAGAUAGUAAGUGAAGUUUUUGCAGGGUGGGACAGUAUGACAAAUUAUGAGCAUCAUAAUUUGGGUAGAAUUUGGGUAGUAUGGCAGCAAAGUGUGAGGAUGAGCCCUGUUUAUAAAAGCAGCCAGAUCAUCACUUGUUCAAUUUUGAUGGAAGGUGUGGAAGAGGAAUUCUUUUGUUCGUUUAUCUAUGCUGCAAAUGGUAUAGAGGAGAGGAAAGAGUUGUGGGACGACUUGAGAAGUCACUAUGACUCACCGAUGUUCAAGGAUAAAAAUUGGAUGAUAAUGGGGGAUUUUAAUGAGAUUCUGGAUAUUGAAGAGCACUCUGGUUUUGCAAGUUCACCGAGACUGCCAGGGGGUAUGCGAGAUUUUCAAGAGAUUGCCAGCUAUUGUGGUCUAACAGAUAUGGGGUAUCAGGGGCCGAAGUUUACAUGGUGUAAUAAGAGGGAAGAGGGGUUCAUAUGCAAGAAGUUGGACAGAGUGCUGAUUAAUGAGAGGUGGCUUCACUCUUCAAGGGCUUACUGUGUAUUCGAACCUGGGGGUUGCUCAGAUCAUCUGAGAUGUAGAAUCCAACUAGUGGUAGAGGAAACCCGGAAAAGAAAGCCGUUCAAGUUCACAAACUGUAUAGCUAAGAUGCCGGAGUUUCUUCCUUUGAUGGAGGAGAAUUGGAGGGGAAAUGUGGCUUUGUUCCACUCAACAACAGCUAUGUUCAAGCUCACAAAGCAAUUGAAGGCUCUAAAACAGCCGCUACGUUUGCUUUGCAAAGACAAGUUAGGAGACCUGCCAAAGAAAACUAGAGAAGCUUUUAAAACCUUAUGUGAGAAACAAAAAGCCACUUUGGAGCAACCUCUAGCGAGCGCGAUACGAGAAGAAGCAGCAGCUUAUGAAAGAUGGCAACGGUUAGCUUACUUGGAGGAAGAAUUCUACAAGCAAAGAUCGAAGUUACAUUGGCUUGAUGUGGGCGAUGGUAACAAUAGGGUCUUUCACAAUGCGAUAAAAGUUAGAGAAGUGCGAAAUGGUAUACGAGAAGUAAUGAGAGCUGAUGGUACAUUGGCUAAGACUGAUGAGGAGAUAAAAGUUGAAGCAGAGGGUUUCUUCUCACAAUUUCUGAAUGCUGUUCCUGAGGACUUUGAAGGAGUAACAGUGGAGAGACUGCGAGAGCUGUUGGGUUUUCAAUGUAGUGAGAUUGAUUGUGGAAAGCUAGUGAAGGAGGUGACUAAAGAAGAGAUUAAAGAGGUUCUUUUCAAGAUGCCAGGGCAUAAAUCACCAGGGCCAGAUGGGUAUACCUCAGAGUUCUUCAAAGAGACUUGGCAGAUAAUUGGAGAUGAUGUCACUAUUGCUGUCCAGUCUUUUUUCAUUAAGGGGUUCUUACCGAAAGGUCUUAACUCUACCAUACUGGCACUGAUUCCGAAAACAACAGAAGCGAAGAUCAUGAAGGACUACAGGCCAAUCUCGUGCUGCAAUGUAUUAUACAAAAUAAUAUCAAAGCUCCUGGCAAACAGAUUGAAGGGUAUUUUGCCGAAAUGUAUCUCUUGGAAUCAGUCUGCGUUCAUUAAGGAAAGGUUGUUGAUGGAGAACGUGCUGUUAGCUACAGAGAUUGUGAAAGAUUAUCAUAGAGAGGACAUAUCUCCAAGGUGUGCAAUGAUGAUCGACAUAUCAAAAGCUUUCGACUCUGUGCAAUGGAGCUUCCUACUCAACACACUUCAAGCUCUUGGUCUCCCUGAGAAGUUUAUUAAAUGGAUCUCACUCUGUAUCACUACAGCCUCUUUCUCUGUCCAAGUUAAUGGUGAGCUGGCUGGGUAUUUUCAGAGUAAUAGAGGAUUGCGUCAAGGAUGCUCCCUGUCUCCUUAUCUGUUCGUUAUAUGUAUGAAUGUAUUGUCAAAGAUGUUGGAUGAAGCAGCCGCCCGAAACCUGAUAGGAUUCCAUCCGAAGUGUAAAAACAUUGGUCUCACUCACCUUUGUUUUGCAGAUGACUUAAUGGUUUUCAUUGAGGGCUCUCGAAGAUCUGUGGAAGGGAUAUUGAGAGUUUUUGAGGAGUUUGAUAAAAUGUCGGGCCUGAAGAUAAGUUUGGAAAAAUCUACCCUGUUUAUGGCGGGAUUCUCAGAUCAAAAGAGAGCAGAAAUCGUAAGUCACUUUCCCCUAGCAUCUGGAAAUCUUCCCGUCAGAUACUUAGGACUGCCAUUGCUCACAAAGAACAUGUCAGUAAAUGAUUUUCUUCCUCUAGUUGAGAAAAUUAGAAAGAGGAUUGGAUCAUGGACAGGCCGCUUCUUAUCUUACGCAGGCAGGUUGCAACUGAUAAAUUCAGUCAUCAUGAGCUUGGUAAACUUCUGGAUGGCAGCUUUCAGGUUGCCAAGUGGUUGCAUUCAGGAAAUAGAGCGAAUCUGUUCGGCUUUCUUAUGGUCUGGUGUGGAGAUGAACAGCAGGAAAACAAAAAUUAGUUGGAAGGAAGUGUGUAGAACGAAGCAGGAAGGAGGCUUGGGUAUCAGAUCCUUGAAGGAGAUGAAUGUAGUUUGUAUUUUGAAGCUUAUUUGGAGAAUACUAGCUGCUAAAUCUCUUUGGGUCUGUUGGAUUAAGAUGUAUCUCAUCAGAAAAGGUUCAUUCUGGUCAAUAAAGGAUACAUCGCAACUGGGCUCUUGGACAUGGAGGAAAAUACUGAAGUACAGGGAGAAGGCAAAGGAGCUAUAUAGGGUGGAGGUUAGAAAUGGUGAGAGGGCUUCUUUUUGGUAUGAUAAAUGGUCUCCUCUUGGAUGCUUAAAAGACUUAUUGGGUAAUGGAGGUUGUAUAGACAUGGGUUUAACAGAGAAUGCAAAGGUUGCGGAUUGUCGUUGUCAUCGAAGAAAGAAUCAUCGAUUUAUGAUCCUUAACAGAGUAGAGCAGGAGAUAGAGAAGUUUAAAGUUAGUUGGAGACAAGAUGAGGAAGAUGUCUAUCUUUGGAGAAGUGGGAAUAAUAAAUUCAAGGAGAAAUUCUCUACUGCAGAAACCUGGCAGCAAAUCAGAGAACAACAUCAACAAUAUGAUUGGCAUAAAGCUGUGUGGUUCAAACACGCAACACCGAAGUACUCUUUUGUGGUCUGGGUCGCUUUGAGGGACCGACUGUCAACAGGAAGUAGAAUGGCACAAUGGUCCGCAAGUGUUGACACUUCUUGUAUCUUCUGCCAAGUACCGGUGGAAACAGUUGAUCACCUAUUUUUUGAGUGCUCAUACUCAAAGCAGAUAUGGGAGAAACUAGCGAGAGGUGUGCUAAGGGAUCGGUUUACUUCGAGCUGGUCUGAUAUUAGGAGGAUAAUUGUCGAUGAAGAUCAAGAGAAAAUGCUCCUCUUUACUAUCAGAUAUGUAUUUCAGACUGCAGUUCAUAGCAUUUGGAGAGAGAGAAACCGAAGAAGACACGGGGAGGCUGCUUCUCCAUAUGCUCUAAUUGCAAAGCUGAUCGACAAGACCAUGAGAAAUAAAUUCUCAAUCAUUCAAAAGAAGGGGGAUAAGAGGCUGGCAGGAGGGUUACAAUAUUGGUUUUCAACAAGAUAAUACUUCAUGUGAAGGGGACUUGAGCUGCAGUUUUGAGAAAGGGAUAAACUUUUGAAGGCUAAAAUUUGAUUGGGAAGAACCAGUAGGAGUGAGAGCUGGAAAUCCAGUAGGAGUGAGUGCUGGUAAAUCCAGUAGGAGUGAGAGCUGGCUGCCUAGUAGGAGUGAGAGCUAGGUAGAGUUUGAGAAGGAUGGGAAGAGAUGAGGAGGUCGAUAAGCUGAAGCAUGAUUUUCUUAUUGAUUUUAUAAAACUUGUAUAGAAACCUUAGAAGAAAGGACACACAUAGUUGUAACAAGGUUUUUUCUUUUUGAAUUAAAUUUAACAUUCAAUUCAAAAAAAAAAAAGAACAUAAAAUGCUUGAAUUUGUUGGACUGCACUAUAUACAAGAGAUAUAUAUGCUAAUACAGCAUAUGAGGUCCAUUAGUUCUCAAAUUGUACUAAACUAUAUGGCAUAUCAGGGGCAUUAACUAGCAAAAAGUCACCACUUGCUGUCCU